CAGCCGCCGCGGGAAUACGGAGGGCGCUAGCGUUACCCGGAUUUACUGGGCGUAAAGGGCGUGUAGGCGGCCUGGGGCGUCCCAUGUGAAAGGCCACGGCUCAACCGUGGAGGAGCGUGGGAUACGCUCAGGCUAGAGGGUGGGAGAGGGUGGUGGAAUUCCCGGAGUGGCGGUGAAAUGCGCAGAUACCGGGAGGAACGCCGAUGGCGAAGGCAGCCACCUGGCCCACUUCUGACGCUGAGGCGCGAAAGCGUGGGGAGCAAACCGGAUUAGAUACCCCCGUAGUCCCUGUCUCUUAUAC
rnacentral:rRNA from 1 species